UGUGUAAGUACACCCCUGCGUAAGGCCAAACCGCGGAUGGCUCAUUAAAUCAGCUAUCAUUGGUCAGUCGACAGUUCCUAAUCGGAUAACUGUAGUAAUUCUAGAGCUAAUACGUGCCAAUUAUGUCCUGUUCGCAAGAGCGGGAUGGCUUUAUUAGAUCAAAACUAACCGUAGUUCGCUGCGCUGGUUUUGGUGACUCUGGAUAACGUACUUAUCGCAUGACCUUGUGUCGGCGAUACGACAGGCAAAUGUCUGCCUAUCAACUAUAGACGGUGUAUAGACAUCCAAGGAAGGCAGCAGGGCGCAACUUACCCACUCCUGGUUUAGGGAGGUAGUGACAAAAAAUAACCAAUACCGGCUUUUUAAGUUGGUAUAUGGGACGAAUGAAGUUUAUAAAACUUCAUGAGUAUCCACUGGAGGGCAAGUCUGGUGCCAGCCGCGCGGUAA
rnacentral:rRNA from 1 species